UGCUCUUUUUAAACUCUUUAAUGCGGAUAAAUGUUAGCCACCUAUGGGGAGAAAGACAGGAUAAUAAUAAUAAUAAUAAUAAUAAUAAUAAUAAUAAUAAUAAUAAUGUGAAUGUUCAUACUUGUGUAUACAAUUUGAACAUCCCUUUCCCCAAAUUCUAAAACAUAUGCUUGUGGUCUUUAAAACCCAAACUUUCUUUUAUAUAUAAAAUUGUUACAAAUAUUGUGUAUAAAAUUACCUCCAAGCUAUAUGUACAAGGUGCAUAGGAAAUGUGCAUGAUUUUUGUUUUGUUUAGACAUGGGUCUCAUAUCCAAGACAGCUUAUUGUGUAUAUGCAUAUUUCAAACUCUGAAAAAAAAAUCCCAAAUCCAAAACACUUCUAGUCCCAAGCAUUUUGAAUAACCAACAUUCAAUCUGUAUAUGAAUUCAUUUCCUCAGUAGCAACAGAAAUGUAGCAUAAUGGAUUUAUAUAUAUAAAAAAACCAUAUCAAAAGGGCAUAUAUUGGUUGGAAGAAAACUGUGUAACAAUAUAACAUGGCUUUAACAGGAUUUAAAUAUUCUGUUUUAAUGUAAAUGUCAGUUGUCUGAGGUGGUGGAAACUGAAGCUAAAGAUAUUGAUAUCCCUGUUUUAGAAAAUGACAGUCACCCAAUGAAAAUAGUUUUCUGUGUCAAAAAUUACAAUGCAUCUUAAACAUCCAAGACAAGAAAAUAAGAACACUUUGUCACAGCUUUGUAGAACAGAAGGUAGUUAGGUGGUAUAACUGUAUCUAUUACUGCUAAUAGUUUAUACUGAAGUAAAACUUUUAUUUGAAAAUGAAAUCUUUAAAAAAACAGAGCUGUUUUCUAAUUAAAGUUUUGGCAGGUCAUUAUUUUCAUACAGCUGCUUCUUUGGCAGAAGGUCACACUCUAUGAAAAUCUGUUGCUAUAAAUGGAAGGCACCGCAAAAGCUCACCCCCCUCCCUCUUUAAGUAUGUUUCCCUCAUUAUAUGAGACUUCAACGUGUAUUAAUUAAGUGUACCCCCAGGGUGGCUGGAGACAAAAGGUGAAAAAUUAUGUGAAUGGUUGUUUUUUUUUUUUUUUUACAUAGCAAUCCCAUAUCCGGUUGUUGUAUUGCGUUAUCUUGCAUGAAGUCAACUUAGUACUGUGGUUUAUGCCUUGGACUAAGACUCCAACUGACCAUAUAAUGCAGAUUGUACUGCAUUAUAUGGUCAAUGUAGGCUAAUAUAAUUCAGUUGAAUGGCAUUGAACUGGAUUAUAUGAGUCUACAUUGACCAUAUAAUGCAUUUCAUUCUGCAUUAUAGUGAGCGUGUAAAUGAAUUCCUGCUCAGCCAUGGAUGAUCCUGGGCAAGUUGCACUUUCUGGGCUGGAUCUACAUGGCCAUAUAAUCCAGUUCAAACUUGAUAAUAUGGGACCAGAAACUGGACUAUAUGUCAGUGUAAAAGGGGCCUCAUCCUUAGAGAAAGGCAAUGUCAAACGUCUUCUGAAUAAAUCUAUAAAUCUGCUAGGGACACCAUAAGUCCAAGUUAUUGUGAAGACAACAAAGGAUGUUGAAAGAUGUUUACUCCUUUGAAAAGCUGAAAAGUUUGCAUUUGAGUGGGAGCUUUGCAAAUCUGAUUAUUUUAAAACAUUGUUUCUCUACAUAUCUCACACAACACAUCUGCUCUUUAUGAAACAAAGAAACCAUGGAGAAAUAAGAAAUCUGCAAUAUAAAUUAUUCAAGGUAGCCAAAACAAACUAUAAACUAAAAUUACAAAAUCACCUUGGAGAUCUUAUUGGCAUGGUCCCUGAACUACUAUCACUUUUGCUGCAUGUACCAUUCCUGUGGACAAUUUAUCACUCAAUGGCAAUCCUUUGGAUGAUGGGUCUAUAUAUACUUACAGACUGUGCUGCAUUCUGCCACCAGAAAUAUGCUUAAAUCCUCACCAGCUUGUUGUAACUUGUCAUACUUCAGCUCUAUUGUCAUAAUGUGUUGUCGAAGGCUUUCAUGGCUGGGAUCACAGGGUUGUUGUAUGUUUUCUGGGCUGUAUGUUCCAGAAGUAUUCUCUCUUGACGUUUCGCCCACAUCUAUGGCAGGCAUCCUCAGAGGUUUUCAUAGUUUUUCUUGAAGUUACAGGGUAAAACAGGCUUAAUUAAGAGUCACAUUCUGAGCGAGAUAGGAUUUGCUUGCUAUCAGAGAUGGAACAGGUUGUACUUCUAGAUGACAGCAUUCUUGAGAGAGGGUGCCUUCAAGAAAAGUGGUGUUACAGGUUGUCGCCAGAUGGACCUCAGUAGUCUGCAUGAUGUGCCACAUUGAAAAAUGACUAUGAUCAUGAUAAUAGUGGUCAAAUAGAUCUGGAUGGGACAAACUAUUUACUCAGAUAUUCUAGUCCCAAAUUUAUCCAGGACUUAAAAUUUAACAAUAAUAUCUUUAAAAUGGCUAAGUACCCUGUUUCCCCGAAAAUAAGACAGGGUCUUAUAUUAAUUUUUGCUCCCAAAGAUGCACUAGGUCUUAUUUUCAGGGGAUGUCUUAUUUUUCCAUGAAGAAGAGCUCACAUUUAUUGUUGAACAACAAAAUGAACAUUUAUUAUAUACUGUAAAGUAGUUGUCAUCGCAAACCAGCAUAACCAGACAAACUAUGAAUCCUAUCAAGAAUUUCUUGUUACUACCAUUAUUUACAUGUGCAACAAUCUAUGGUACCUCUUGCAGUUUAGGUUUCACAAGGUUUCCACGCUGAUUUCUCUCUAUUCUAGUUUCAAUGUAGUCAUGAAUGAUGAAUAAUAUAAUAUACUAUAAUAAUAAUAUGAUAAUAUAAUAAUAAUAUAAUGAUAUACAAUAUAUUAAUGAGAUAAUAUAAUAUAGGAUAUAAUAAUAACAGAAAAUGAUAAUAAUAUGGUAUUAAUAGGAUAAUAUAAUAAUGGGAUAUAAUAACAGAAUAGCAUAAUAAUAUAAUAAUAAUAGGAUAAUAUAAUAGAAUAAUAGAAUGGAAUAGAAUGAUAUAAAAUAUAUUAAUAGGAUAAUAUAAAAUGGGAUAUAAUAAUAAUAACAGAAUAUGCUAAUAAUAAUAAAAUAAUAAUAUAAUAUAAUAUAAUAAUAGUAUAGAAUAUAAUGAUAUAAAAUAUAUUAAUAGGGUAAUAUAAAAUGGAAUUUAAUAAUAACAGAAUAAUAAUAUAAUAAUAUGAAAAUAUAAUAGAAUAAUAGAAUAAUAAUAUAAUGAUAUAAUAAUAAUAAUAGAAAAAUAUAAUAUAAUGAUUUAAAAUAUAUUAAUAGGAUAAUAUAAUAAUGGGAUAUAAUAAUAGUAACAGAAUAUGAUGAUAAUAAUAUGGCAAUAGAAUAAUAGUAUAAAAUAAUCAGUUUCAUGGCAUAGGAUAGGAAGAUGAGAGGAGAAUUCCAAUGCGUCCUGUACCUUUAAGGAGCGAAAGCAGCAGGACGAAAGCCCUCUUCCUUCCCUCCCUCCCACCCUCCCUUGCCCUGGCUCCAGGAGCCAAUCAGAAGCCUUUGGGAAGCAAGGCAGCAUGGCCAGGAGGGAGACGGAAGGAAGGAAGAAACGGCAGCGCAGUAGCAGCCACUGAAGGUUUUUCAAGCUUCAGCUGGGGGACAGGCAAGGCAAGGCAGGGAGGGAGGGAGGCACAGAAAGCAAGCACUUUCCCUCCCUCCCUCCCUCCGGUGUGUGUAUGAGUGCUGGUUCUGCCCGGCAGCCAUGCUUCCCAAUGGAACUCUGCUGCAGCCUUAGUUGCUAGGUCUUACUUUCAGGGGAGGCCUUAUAUCUGGCAAUCCCCCCAAAACCUGCUAGGUCUUAUUCUUUGGGGAGGUCUUAUUUUCGGGGAAACACGGUAGUAGCUAGUGAUUCCAAGCAUAGCUUUAAGUUAAUAAAAUAUAUGAUUUUUUAAAAAAAAUGCAUAUAUGAAUUGGAGGCUCAGCUAUCUUAUUAUUCAUAAAAGUCUUUAGUUACCAUUUAGAAAUGGAGAUGUGCUCAUAAGUUGAAAGAAGUAGGUGUCAGCAUUGGGAGAUUUCAUGAAAGCCUGUCUUACAAUUUGUUUCAGAAAUCAAUAAUAGCACUGGUGUUCUUUUAAUAUUCCUGGCACUAAAUCUUCAUUUAUUUUUUAUGGAAUGUUCCACAGAAAAACAGUUGUGUUUCUUGGCUUUGUAUUCCAAAGUUCUGGAUACAAUGACAGGUUCUUAAUGUGAAGUAUGACCUUUAGAAUAUAGCAGUUGGUAUCCUCGAGAUGUGUUGCACUAGAUUUCCUAUCAUUCUCAGGUAGCAUAGUCAUAGAUUUAGUAGUCUAAAACAUCUGAAAAACAUCAGGUUGAAACUAGAUGAAACACAUGUUGAACCCUAUUUGAAUACUAAAUGUCAGCUCAAUGGGAUACAUGUGGAGGCAUGUGUUUUGACUUUUAGCUUAAGUUUCCAAAUAGGUAUAGUCUUAUGAAUUAACCUAUGAUUAAAAUAAAGGCCUAAGAAUCAUGACCUGACCUCUUUCUCCCACAUUUUAGAAAGAUUCCCAUGAACAUACAUGAAAGGAAACAGACACACAGGAAGAAAAUCUUGAAUAUUUGUAUCAGUUUGGAUCUUUGGCUCCUGCUUUCAAAGGGAAAGGAGACCAAAAGUAGAUAGUGGGAACUGGGUGGAAACCUGUUCCAUCUCCAAACAUGUAAUUCAACAUGCAGAGUCUUAUAUUUUGUGUGUGUGCAAAAAAUCUACGAACACACAUAUUAAAAUAUAGUUCUAUAAAAGAUACAUAUUAACAUAGUUUUUAUUCUCUUUUUUUCAAGGUUACAUAACCUAGGAAAUGUAAAAUACAUUGUAGGAAGGGCAUAUUUUUUAUGGUCAGAGAUCAGGAGGCUUUGCAUGUGGCACAGGAUGCCAGAACACAGCACAGGCUUAGUGGCCCCCACAUAUACUGCUUCAGAUCAUAGCAACGUGGUGUGCUGCACAGCUUCGAGGAGAAUGAAGUGGAGGAUUUUGAGAAAUGUGGCUUGUGGUUUGAGAAAUGUGGCUUGUAGUGAUAAAGAUAGAGACACCUUUUCCCCUCGAUAACUCUUCCAGAAGUGAAUUUCCCUUCUUAGAGGUAGAUUUCUCUCAUUUCCUGUUGUGUCACCAGCAUUCUUAAUUAUGAGUCAUUUGUAAAUCAGAUGUUUGUAACUCAGGGACUGUCUGUAUAUACUUUGGCAGGGAUCUGAAUAAAACUCUUCCCUCCCUCUCACUAUUCUGCAAUUCAAUAAAUGCAGCAAUAACAGGUGGCAAGAAGUAGAGGACAAAGCAAGUAGGAUGUCUCCUCACAUCACUCUUUGAGUGACUGUUCGGAAUAGACAGACAGGUGAAUCAGUAGAAACAGAAAGGAGGAGGACAAAGAGGUUUAUAAAGUUUAGUUGGAUUCUUGCUGAAGCUUAGUACUUCUUUUUGAUGUUCAGGUACCAUCCCUAGGUAAACAUUGAAGGUUAUUCAAAGUGCAGUUUAAUAUGAGGCAAUCUUUUUUUUUAACGCUAACAUUAAAGGUUUGUUUCCUUUCACACAGUGAUAUAUUGCUCAUUCAUGGAAAAGGCAAGCCAUUUUCUAAUCUGAUAUUGCUUCUUGAAACAAAAGGGAUGGUGCUUUUUUUAAAUAAAAAAAACAUAUAUUUCUUUUUUUCUUUCUUUCUUUGCUUUCUCUCCCCCUCCCAGUCCAAAAGCAAGGUUACACUUCGUAUGAAUUAAUCUAUGACAUAACAUAUCUCAUUCAACCCACAAGCUGUUAACAUUCAUGGUGCUACACCCUGAAGAUACAAAUCUCUCUCCCCCUCUUCCCCAAAUCUGCUUUUGUCAAGAUUCUAAUACAAGUAAUAAGAUGAUUAGGCCUGUUAAUAUCAUUAAUGAUAAAGUCUUAGAGAGGAUUUAAGCUUUGAUGGCAUAAAAAACCCUUUACAUCUUAAAACAUCUCCCCAUGUUUGCAAGGCCAUGCAAUUAAGAUUUGUGAUUGUGUGAUUCAACCCUAAUCAUUAGAGACAGAUAAAUUGGAUUUAAACAGUGAUAAGUGGGGUGAUUCCUGGCUAUCCCCCACUGAUGGCACAAUCUGUAAAACAUUUUUUCUCUCUCUCCAUACUCUGAUGGAUUGAAAG